GUGCUUGCUUUGGCAGCACAUAUACUAAAAUUGGAUUGACACUGAGAUUAGCAUGACCCCUGCACAAGGAUAACACACAAAUUCCUGAAGCAUUCCGUAUUUUU
ensembl:snRNA U6 U6 spliceosomal RNA